CCAGACUCCUACGGGAGGCAGCAGUGAGGAAUAUUGGUCAAUGGGCGGAAGCCUGAACCAGCCAAGUCGCGUGAGGGAUUAAGGCCCUGCGGGUCGUAAACCUCUUUUGCCGGGGAGCAACGGGGUCCUUGCGAGGGCCCAAUGAGAGUACCCGGAGAAAAAGCAUCGGCUAACUCCGUGCCAGCAGCCGCGGUAAUACGGAGGGUGCAAGCGUUGUCCGGAAUCAUUGGGCGUAAAGAGUUCGUAGGCGGUAUGUUAAGUCUGGUGUUAAAUGCAGAAGCUCAACUUCUGUUCGGCACUGGAUACUGGCAAACUAGAAUGCGGUAGAGGUAAAGGGAAUUCCUGGUGUAGCGGUGAAAUGCUUAGAUAUCAGGAGGAACAUCGGUGGCGUAAGCGCUUUACUGGGCCGUAAUUGACGCUGAGGAACGAAAGCCAGGGUAGCAAAUGGGAUUAGAUACCCCAGUA
rnacentral:rRNA from 1 species